AAAAACAUUCAAUCUUGUUGAGACAAAAUGAGACAAAAUUAGGAUUCAUAUAUUAUAAAAUCUUAUUGGAUGAUGGAGCUCAGGUGAAGUAUUGCCGAUGAACUCAGGUCAACGCAUAUCGCUAAAAUAACUUCAUCACGGAAAUAACUAAGUUGAACGGGUAAACAAACUCAAACAUAUUAUGGUUGAUGCCAUUAGAAUUAGGUGUUGCUGCUUCCGUUGUAGAGCGCGGGUGUGACGAAUGUUCCGAUGGAGAAAUUUGCAGCUGUCAGGAUUUCACUGGUGAUGAUACAAUGACGGAUUAUACGAGGGUCACUAUUUAUAUUUCGGGAAUUGGCAACACUGAUGUCAUGUGAGUCCAUCUGACGGUUCCAUCGUAAAGUUUGACAUUUUUGACGAUAUACGUACUCAGAACAUUUUGUCAUACGGACGCUAUUUGUUUAUUUUAUAUUUAGUUGAAAGUUUGGUCUCGGCAACUGGAACUGAAUCGUGAACAUUUUCGUGCGAUGAUUUUUUACGACUUUCGACGUGGAUUAUCACAACAAGAGUGCGUCAAUCAACUUAAUUUGACUUUUAGCGAUGAAGCUCCAUCAAAAAACGCUGUGUAUCGCUGGUAUAGUGAAUUCAAUCGUGGUCGUAGUUCGCUGUCCGACGAGUUUCGUGAAGGUCGUCCAAAAUCGACUGUAGUGCCAGAAAACAUCGAUGCUGUGGACGAAAUGAUUAAGCAAGAUCGUCAUGUAACCUAUUGUGAGAUUGAGGCAUCCUUAAGCAUUAGUUUCACCAGCAUAUAUGCGAUCUUACAUGAACACUUAGUUGUGCGAAAAUUAUGUUCACGUUGGAUCCCACAUAAUUUGACAAUCGCUCAAAAAAAGGCUCGUGUCGAUUGGAAUAAAUGCUUUGAAAAUUGGUUUAAGCGCAUGCAAAAGUGUAUCGAUCAUCGUGGCGAGUACUUUGAAAAACAAUAAAAAUAUAUUCGAAGCUUAACUAUUUGUUUUUGUUCCUAUUCCCGAAAUAUAAAUAGUGACCCUC